ACUAGGUUAUAGAACGAAAGCAAUUAGCGAAUAGUUCGUAGCUGUAGUCACCUAAGGUCGUUGAGGGUUUCGAUAGUUUGAGUAGUUAAGUCUACAAGUUCUCUAAAUUAUUCAGGUGUUGCGUUUUUCAAUUUUCCAAUUUCUAAUAAAGCGAAGACAGACACCGAAAGAUAAGGGCUAUUAGCUCAGGUGGUUAGAGCGCACCCCUGAUAAGGGUGAGGUCCCUGGUUCGAGUCCAGGAUGGCCCACUUUCAUACAAAACUGGAUUCAUCCAAAACUGUUUGGGGGUAUAGCUCAGCUGGUAGAGCGCCUGCUUUGCAAGCAGGAUGUCAGCGGUUCGAGUCCGCUUACCUCCACCACGACUGACACCAUCAACUACCAACGAAAUUAACUAAAAGUAAUCAGCAUCUAGGAAUGUAAAGCGUUGAAAGACGAAUGAAACAUCAUAGAGUGCUGGUCUCUUAAGACUAGCGAGAACCUUGACAACUGCAUAGAAGAAAAAGAAAGCAAAGGUAGUUCAAAGUCUGAAUAAGACAUUUGAAAAGAAGAAGCCUAAUGUGCUGAGCGAAUGGUUUGAGGAGAUAGUGAAAGCUAUUGAGCCGAAUGCGUUGUUCGGUUGCAUAAGCAAUCGACCUUCAAAUAUCCAAUGAAG
rnacentral:tRNA from 1 species